UAGGAGAUCACAUCAAACUGCUAGGAGGUCACAUCAGACUGCUAGGAGGUCACAUCAAACUGCUAGGAGAUCACAUCAAACUGCUAGGAGAUCACAUCAAACUGCUAGGAGAUCACAUCAGACUGCUAGGAGGUCACAUCAGACUGCUAGGAGGUCACAUCAGACUGCUAAGUCACAUCAGACUGCUAGGAGGUCACAUCAGACUGCUAGGAGGUCACAUCAGACUGCUAGGAGGUCACAUCAGACUGCUAGGAGGUCACAUCAGACUGCUAGGAGGUCACACCAGACUGCUAGGAGGUCACAUCAGACUGCUAGGAGGUCACAUCAGACUGCUAGGAGGUCACAUCAGACUGCUAGGAGGUCACAUCAGACUGCUAGGAGGUCACAUCAGACUGCUAGGAGGUCACAUCAGACUGCUAGGAGGUCAUAUCAUAAUUUCAUGCCUGUCAUGUGUGAUCUGCUCCAGGGAAGGAACCCCCUAACAGAGAGCCAGGCCUGGAAGACACAGAGCUUUCCACAAGCAGAGGAGACAGACAACAUAGAGAAAUGGAGAGAGAGAGAGAAACGAAGAGAGAGAGAGAGAGAGAGAGAGAGAGAGAGAGAGAGAGAGAGAGAGAGAGAGAGAGAGAGAGAGAGAGAGAGAGAGAGAGAGAGAGAGAGAGAGAGAGAGAGAGAGAGAGAGAGACAGACAGACAGAGAGA